rnacentral:rRNA from 1 species
UGGAAGCCGGGCGACUCUGGCGGGACGUGCCAUCGACAAGAUGGAGGAAGGUGGGGAGUGACGUCAAGUCAUCAUGGCCCUUAUGUCCAGGGCGACACACGUGCUACAAUGGCCGGCACAGCGGGAAGCGAGGCAGUGAUGCCAAGCGGAUCCCUUAAAGCCGGUCUCAGUUCGGAUUGAAGUCUGCAACUCGACUUCAUGAAGCUGGAAUCGCUAGUAAUCGCAGAUCAGCCAAGCUGCGGUGAAUACGUUCCCGGGCCUU